rnacentral:rRNA from 1 species
UACCUACGGGAGGCAGCAGUGAGGAAUAUUGGUCAAUGGGCGCGAGCCUGAACCAGCCAAGUAGCGUGACGGCUGCCUGCCCUCCGGGUUGUCCCCUUCUUUUCUCCAGGCCUCCAGUGCGGCACGUGUGCCUUUUUGUAUGUACUUUAUGAAUAAGGAUCGGCUAACUCCGUGCCAGCAGCCGCGGUAAUACGGAGGAUCCGAGCGUUAUCCGGAUUUAUUGGGUUUAAAGGGAGCGUAGAUGGGUUGUUAAGUCAGUUGUGAAAGUUUGCGGCUCAACCGUAAAAUUGCAAUUGAUACUGGCA